rnacentral:lncRNA from 1 species
UGCACUUGGAAAGCGUGCAGAGUAGAAAAAUGUCCUUAAGAAAAUAAAAUCUCACAGCCAGCUCAUUUUCUUCUCUUUGUGUUUGUUUGUUUGUCAUCCCAGUUGGAAGCUGAACUCAACUUGAGCCUGGAGAGUUCCGAAAGUGUGGAAGGAACGAAUUAGACUCAUCCUUCAAAGACUGUAGACAUGGAUCCUGUGGAGAGGCCUGUCCAUCCGCUUCCCCAGGAACUAUUUAUUCAGAGAGAGAGUGGAGACAAUUGCAUGUUUUUAACCCAUUUAUAACUGGAAACCAUGAUUGAGGAUUUUUUGGGAAACAAAAUCUGGAACAUUGACACACGAGUGAGUAUCGUGUUGUUGUAAGUGGUCGCAUCAGUGGGAUGUAUGCUUACUUUAACUGAACUGCCAUUGCCCAACACAUUUUCUGAAUGCUUUCUUGGAAUUGCCUUCACAGCCCAUGCCAUAUUCCUUUGAACUUAUGCAAAGUUAGGAAAUUUUAGAUUUCAAUAG